rnacentral:rRNA from 8 species
UAAACGACUCUCGGCAACGGAUAUCUUGGCUCUCGCAUCGAUGAAGAACGUAGCGAAAUGCGAUACUUGGUGUGAAUUGCAGAAUCCCGUGAACCAUCGAGUUUUUGAACGCAAGUUGCGCCCGAAGCCUCUNGGCCAGGGCACGUCUGCCUGGGCGUCACGC